GAGCUGUUCAAGAAAUUGGUGCCCGCUCACUGCCUGGGCUCCAUCUGGUCCCAGUGAGACAACAGGGACUGCGAGUACCUGGCACCCACCACCUGUGACACUGUGGCACACACGAACACCUUGGCCAACAGUGUCAUCGCUAUGUGCCUCGGGGCCCAGGGCAUGACAGCCCAGCAAAGGGCCAGGGUGGUGGAGCUGUGGAUUCAGGUGGCCGAGGUAAGACAUGGGAGGCCCAUGGAGGGCCUGUCUGGAAUCGUGGGAAUUGCCUCUUGUUUCUCAGCUGUCGAUAUUGAAGUCUGUGGUCUGAGUCCCUGCACUGUCCCUCGACCCUCCUGCCAGGGCCACGCUGACCUUGACUUGAGGUCCUGGUGGUGGCAAGCUCACUUCCUUGCUGUGCUCCUUCCUUGUGUUCAGCUAAAAAUCCUUGUGCCUGGCACUGUUACUCGUCAGGUCCCAGGUGUGCCCUCCUUGGGUUUCCUGGGCAUCUGUCUCAUCCAAGACAGAAGUCCAUGAGGGGACAGAAUCCAGAUCUGGAGAGCUCCGCCCCCCCCCAAAGCUCAAUCUCUUCCCCAGGGGUGCCAAGGCCUCAGAAACUUCUCUUCCUUCCACACUAUCCUUUCUGCUCUGAAGAGCCCUGCCAUUACGCAGAUCAAAGAGACCUGGGGACAAGUUUCCAGGUGGGUAGGCAGCUCUCCAUCCAAGCACCAUGAGGGUGAGGUGGACCCGGCAGCCGGCAUUGGGUCGCCAUGGCCCCCGCAGUCAGCUGAGACCACCUGGGAGACAGUGAAUACCUGGGACACAGACUGAUCCAGUUCCUGGGUCUCUGAGGCUCUCAGGGCCCUUAGGCCAGUGGUUCUGCCCAGGAGUUAAUUUCCUUCAAUAUCAGAUCCUGACGUGAGCCCAGUUGGGGAUUCUCAAGUGUUUCCUUUCCAGCAACAGAAAUCUCCAUCCAACUGAAACCAAGAUUGUUCAAAAAAGAUCUGUGUGGUAGAUAUGGGAAUGGAGGCCCCAGGUGACAACAGGAGAGGGCCCUCCCCAGUCCCAUGGGGACCUUGGGGCUCAGAGCAACCCAGUGAAAUCCCUCAUCCAGGUCCCAGGCUGUUUGGGUCUUCUGGGAUCUCAAACAAAUGGGAUUUGCCCUUCAACCAUCCUAUAGUCUUUCUUUCUUUCUUUCCCCGCUCCCCCAGGGAGAGUUCCUACACCUUUAAGAAGUGGUGCAGGGGAGAGCAGAACGUGAGCAGGAGACUGUUCCCGAAGAGGGCCCACCAUGGAGCAGCAGGUGAAGGUGCCUGGGGGGGAGAUGCCCAGGAGUCAGAGGAGAGAGGGCUCCCCCUCCCAGCUGGAGGCCUCCCCCAGGAGAGGGUCCUUCCUCCUCCAUGCCUCUGAAGUGCCUGCAUUGGCAGUGAGCAGGAGGAGGCCUGGAAGGGCUGGGAACAGGAUGGUUUUGGGGUGGGGAGGGGCAGGGGUCACACCCCCAGGGAUUGGCCAACAGCCAGCCCUGGGACGUGACUGGGGGAGUUUGGUGUUCCUGGAGGGGAGGGGAGGAG
rnacentral:lncRNA from 1 species